rnacentral:lncRNA from 10 species
GGUUCAGCAGAUGUCCUUGGGGGGCAGGGAUGGGAAGCAGGUCUCAGAUCACUCCCAAAGUUUUUACAUCUGGGGGUUCCAAGAACUCCGAGUUUGAGCCAAGACAGCAGCAGAUGCCGAUUCUUAAGACUCUGGAAGAGCCAGGGACAGAACACAGGCUGAGAAGUGGACUUUGUUUCUCUUUUUGAGGCGAAGUCUCACUCUGUCACCCAAGCUGGAAUGCAGUGGCGCAGUCUCGGCUCACUGCAACCUCCGCCUCCUGGGUUCAAGCGAUUCUCCUGCCUCAGCCUCCCGAGUAGCUAGGAUUACAGGAGUUGAGGAGCCAGAAACAGAAGAUGGUCUCAGAAAGGGAGCGGCUCCAGGCAGAACUGGACCACUUACGAAAGUGCCUUGCCUUGCCUGCAAUGCACUGGCCUAGGGGCUACCUGAAGGGAUAUCCCAGGUGACGGUUUCCCUUGCACUAGGCCGAACCUAUAGUAUAGAAAUAUUAUCUAUUUUAUUACCUUGAAUAUUUAAUAUUUUUCACUGGGAGGUUUGAAGCUUACAAAAUGAGAA